rnacentral:rRNA from 1 species
GUAGGGAAUAUUGCACAAUGGAGGAAACUCUGAUGCAGCGACGCCGCGUGAGUGAUGAAGGCCUUCGGGUCGUAAAGCUCUGUCGCAGGGGAAUAACACAAUGAAGGUACCCUGUAAGAAAGGAUCGGCUAACUUCGUGCCAGCAGCCGCGGUAAGACGAGGGAUCCUAGCGUUGUUCGGAAUCAUUGGGCGUAAAGCGGAUGUAGGUGGCUAUGUAAGUCAGAUGUGAAAGCCUGGGGCUCAACCCCAGAAGUGCAUUUGAUACUGCGUAGCUUGAGUGUCGGAGAGGUUACUAGGAUUGUUGGUGUAGUGGUGAAAUACGUAGAUAUCAACAGGAAUACCGGAGGCGAAGGCGGGUAACUGGCCGAACACUGACACUGAGAUCCGAAAGCGUGGGGAUCAAACAGGAUUAGAAACCCGGGUAGUCC